AGUGAACGCUGGCGGUAGGCCCAACACAUGCAAGUCGAACGGCAGCACAGUAAGAGCUUGCUCUUACGGGUGGCGAGUGGCGGACGGGUGAGGAAUACAUCGGAAUCUACUUUUUCGUGGGGGAUAACGUAGGGAAACUUACGCUAAUACCGCAUACGACCUACGGGUGAAAGCAGGGGAUCUUCGGACCUUGCGCGAUUGAAUGAGCCGAUGUCGGAUUAGCUAGUUGGCGGGGUAAAGGCCCACCAAGGCGACGAUCCGUAGCUGGUCUGAGAGGAUGAUCAGCCACACUGGAACUGAGACACGGUCCAGACUCCUACGGGAGGCAGCAGUGGGGAAUAUUGGACAAUGGGCGCAAGCCUGAUCCAGCCAUACCGCGUGGGUGAAGAAGGCCUUCGGGUUGUAAAGCCCUUUUGUUGGGAAAGAAAAGCGGCAGGUUAAUACCCCGCUGUUCUGACGGUACCCAAAGAAUAAGCACCGGCUAACUUCGUG
rnacentral:rRNA from 1 species